UUUUCAGUGGGUUGUAGGAGAAAAUGGUGUCCUCAAGCCAAAACGAAUCAACCCGAAUAUCUACCAGCCACCAUCAUUAAAAGCCGUGCAGCAGAUGGCUGAAGCUCACAUGCAGAAAUUAGGUGUGUAUCGUCAUGUAGAGGAGGAAGGGGGGGAGGAGCUUUCCUCAUCCUGCAUACCUGAUUCACAGGAGCAAAGGGGCAUGGCAGAAUACCAGCCUGGCAUGAGAAAGGCAGGAGCCACGGCACCGACUGAUGAAGAGGAGGAGGAGGAGGAGGAGGAAGUAGAAGCGGACGAUAUGGCAGAGGAUGAGUGCAGAAAUGUGGACUGAAAGAGCAAAGUUUGAGAAACUUUAGAGAUUUUUUUCAUAAUGCAGAACCUUGUUUGGAAAUCAGAAUUAUUGUUUAUUGAUUACUGGUCAAUAAUUCCAUCAUUUGAUAAAACAGCUGUCUGUUUGUAUUCAGAGACAAAAAGAGACUCUGAAAGACUGGAAUUUUGAAGUGGUCAAACAACCUCAAACAAAUAACUCACCCCGACAUUGCCAUGAUUAUAGAAAUAUAUAAGGUAAAAUCCAUCAGCAGUCAUAUAAUACCAUCCUUGCGUUCACAAACAGGUAAAGUACAACUGUUUAGUUCUAUGAGCAGCACGGUACGAAUGUGAAGUGUUGAGAAAUGUGUCAAGUGUUCAUGUCAUGUUUUAUGUGUGUUUUGAGUCGCAGUAUGUUUUGUGAUCGGUGGAUUUCUGUGGGCCUACACUGCCAUCUGGAGUACAGAGAAUUGUUAUACUGAAUUCCAUGAAAUAAUUUGCCAAGAACAAUAAUCCCAGAGCACAUGGAAAGUAUUUCACAGCAUUAUUGUUUAGCGUUAUGUUCAACCACUGCCAACAUCCUUGUAGUUGGACUGCACUUCAAACUAUAGU